AUGAAGAUUAACUUCAACAAAUGUGAUUUGCUAACUGUUAAUGUGGAGGAAGAGAUUGCUAAGAGUUUGGCCCAGAUUUUUUGCUGCAAGAAAGGGGAUUUCCCUUUGAAAUAUUUGGGGGUUCCCUUACAUUUUGCUAAGCUUAGAAGAGAAGAUAUCCAGCCUAUUAUUUAUAAAAUUAUCAAAAGAAUUUGUGGAUGGAAAGGGAGGCUGCUUAGCUAUGAAGCUAAGUUGGUGCUUGUUCGUACUUGCAUUCCUAGCAUCCCUACAUAUCUUAUGUCCAUUAUUAAAUUUCCUAAGUGGGCAAUUAAAGCUAUUACCUCCCAGAUGGCUCACUUUUCGUAG
rnacentral:rRNA from 1 species